rnacentral:rRNA from 1 species
AUGAGGCUAUUUGAACACUUGCAUAAAGGGACGCUUGAUGUCCAACGCCUCAACUAUGGAGUGAUCACUCUUUUGCCUAAAACUGCUGGUGCUGAUAAAAUCCAGCAAUUUAGGCCUAUAUGUUUCCUGAUAUGCCCGUACAAAUUGAUUACCAAAGUCUUGGAUCGUCGUGUUGAGAGCUACGCUAACAAGUUAAUUAGUUCGACCCAAAAUGCUUUUGUUAAAGGGAGAAGCAUUAUGGAUGGCGUGCUCUCCCUGCAUGAGAUUUUGAACUAUACUCAUGUGAAAAAAGGGUGGGGGUCGUCCUAA